rnacentral:rRNA from 1 species
CCCUUAGAGUUUGAUCCUGGCUCAGGACGAACGCUGGCGGCGCGCUUAACACAUGCAAGUCGUACGGGUUGGGUCCCUUCGGGGAUCGGACCAGUGGCGAACGGGUGCGUAACACGUGAGCAACCUGCCUGGAGGUGGGGGAUAACCCGGGGAAACCCGGGCUAAUACCGCAUUCGCUCCGGCUGCCUGGUGGCGGCCGGUAGGAAAGCUCCUGCAAGGGAGCGCCUCCAGAGGGGCUCGCGGCCUAUCAGCUGGCUGGUGGGGUAACGGCCUACCAGGGCGACGACGGGUAGCCGAUCUGAGAGGAUGAUCGGCCACAUUGGGACUGAGAUACGGCCCAGACUCCUACGGGAGGCAGCAGUGGGGAAUCUUGCGCAAUGGGCGAAAGCCUGACGCAGCGACGCCGCGUGCGGGAAGAAGCUCUUCGGGGUGUAAACCGCUGUCAGAGGGGAAGAAGUCCGGGGGGAGGAAAUGCCUUCCGGUUGACGGUACCCUCAGAGGAAGCACCGGCUAACUCUGUGCCAGCAGCCGCGGUAAUACAGAGGGUGCGAGCGUUGUUCGGAAUUACUGGGCGUAAAGCGCGCGCAGGCGGCCCUUUAAGUCUGCCGGUCAAAUGCCGGGGCUCAACCCCGUGCUCGCCGGAGAUACUGGGGGGCUGGAGACAGGUAGAGGCGAGUGGAAUUCCGGGUGUAGCGGUGGAAUGCGUAGAGAUCCGGA